ACGGGAGGCAGCAGUGAGGAAUAUUGGUCAAUGGGCGAGAGCCUGAACUAGCCAUGUCGCGUGCAGGAAUACGGCCCUACGGGUUUUAAACUUCUUUUGCCUGGGGAUAAAGUGGCGGACGAGUCCGCUAUUGCAGGUACCAGGCGAAUAAGCAUCGGCUAACUCCGUGCCAGCAGCCGCGGUAAUACGGAGGAUGCGAGCGUUAUCCGGAUUUAUUGGGUUUAAAGGGUGCGUAGGCGGCGCGCCAAGUCUGCGGUGAAAUGUCAGGGCUCAACCUUGGCACUGCCAUGGAAACUGGCGAGCUAGAGUGCGUUUGGGGUACGUGGAAUGUGUGGUGUAGCGGUGAAAUGCAUAGAUAUCACACAGAACGCCGAUCGCGAAGGCAGUGUACCAAGCCGCAACUGACGCUGAGGCACGAAAGUGCGGGGGUCGAACAGGAUUAGAUACCCUGGUA
rnacentral:rRNA from 1 species